UUAAAGUUUAAAUCUAGCUUGAAUAUUUAUUUAAUUUUUCUUUUACAUGUAAAUUGUUGUGUGAAUUUUAGCUGAGCUUUAAUAGCUUAGUUAAGUUUUUGUAUUCGCAGUAUUUAAUAUUAUUGAUUUAAGAAAUUAUGAAUUAGGAAUAAAUUUUAUUAUUGACAAAUUUUGUGCCAGCAGUUGCGGUUACACAAAAAAUAUAAAUAAAUAUUAUUGGAAAGUAAUUAAUUGGCAUUAAAUUAAGAUUAAAAUUGAAUUAGUUAGGUGAAAUUAUUAAUUUAGGUUUGGUCUAUAUAGUGGUUGAUAUUAUUACGAAAUUUUUAUUUAAACUAGGAUUAGAUACCCUAUUAUUUAAAAUGUAAAAUUGAUUCCUGGGGAGUAAAAGUUAUGAUCUCGAAAUUUAAAGAUUUUGGCGGUAUUUUAGUCUAUUCAGAGGAACCUGUUUCAUAAUUGAUAGUCCACGAUUGACUCUACUUGGGUUAAUAAGUUUGUAUAUCGUCGUUAUAAGAAGAUUUUAUAAGAAUUUAAAUUUUUAAUAGUUUCAAUAAAUUGAUAUAUCAGAUCAAGGUGCAGCGUAUACUUAAGAAGAAAUGGGUUACAAUAAGUUUAUUUAUGACGGAUUAGGUUAGGAAGAAAUUUGCCUAUGAAGGUGGAUUUGACAGUAAUGUUAUUAAAUUAAUUAAUGUGAUUUUAGCUCUAAAAUAUGUACAUAUCGCCCGUCGCUCUUAUGUAAGUUAAGAUAAGUCGUAACAUAGUAGAUGUACUGGAAAGUGUAUCUAGAAUGAU
rnacentral:ncRNA from 1 species